rnacentral:rRNA from 1 species
AUGAAUCAAUCAGGGAUUGAACUAGAGUGGAGAGCAAGGAAGGAAGGAAGGAUAGGGUCAGCACACCGCAAAAUGCUUGCUGGAGUGGAGGAGGUUGUUGUUGCUGCCCACUUGGCUUUAUUUCCUACUCCCAGCCUCCAAAAUGAGGAUGAAGCCAAAACAGUCGUGGGAUUCGGUGGGCAGUCCCCAUCCUGCCCUGCCCUGCCCUGCUCUCUCCACCGCAGUGGAGUACCGUCCAUGUUGCAAAACGCUGGCUCCAAACUCGUACCUGCACCUAGCUGCGCAAAGGUCUCGUCUUUCACCUUCCGUGCCGGUGCUUGCUCGCCGCGUGACGCGGCACCGACGCGAGGACCGAUCGCAACGUCUCGACCUGACCCGAGCUUAAUUGGAAACCCGCAUCACCCCAAACCCGUCGCUAAUGGCGAUCGUCACCGCCGUAAUCCGGUCGCGGUGGUUUCACCGGACGCCCGCCUCCAGCCGCAGCACACUCAUCGCUACAGCGGUGCGGCCUCGCCCCACCCACCCACCUCCACCACCGCCGAAAAAGAAGAUCCAGAGGAAGCGGCGGCCGGCAGCGAUCGACUGAGGAUGCCGUCUCCGGGGCCGGCGGCCCUGCUCGUCGCGGCCGUGUUCCUGUGGUGGUCGGCGGCCGGCGCGCUGGCGGACGGCGGCAACGGCACGGUGUGCCUGUGCACGGGCCCGCAGUGCGUGCCGCCGUGCCCCGUCCCGGGGACGACGUCGCCCACGCAGUUCCCCUUCUGCCCGCAGCGGCCAGCGGCGGUCGGGCCCUUCCCCUGGGAGCAGCAGCCGCCGGCGGCGCCGAGGUCGGGGUCGGGGUUCCCUCAGGACGCGGGGUUCCUCGCGGCGGCGGCCUCGUGCCCCGGUAGCACGGCGACGCGGCUGGCGGUGGCCGCCGCGUGCUCUGCUCUCUUGCUCCUCCUGCACUAG